rnacentral:misc_RNA from 1 species
CUUUGCAUGACGAUGAGAGAGGUGGUUGGACUGGCUGGUCUGAACCACUGCUGAAAUUCACCGAAACUGAUAAAAGCCCAGCAAAUGCAACUGAUGAUAAUGUGGCCUCUGAGGAAUUGCAAGAUGAAUUUGAGAACGAAGAAAUAAAGCAGGAAGAUGACACUGAGGCAUUGCUAAAACAACUUGGCAUUGAUGUGGACACUGGGCCUAACAGUGAUAUUAAAAACACUUCAACCUGGAUUAGAUGGUCUGAAGAAGAGUCCUUGCGAGAUUGUAAACAAUGGAUGCCUGUUCACGGAGAAUCUGAUGGGAUAUCUCAGAGUAUUGGGACACCAGAUAGAGAAGACGAUGAACAAUUUUUAAGAGUCAUAUUAUUUGAAGAUGUCAGUGAAUACCUGUUUUCAUUAAGAUCAGAAGAGGCCCGCUUAUCUCUAAUAUGUCAGUUUAUUGAAUUCUUUGGUGGGGAC